rnacentral:rRNA from 1 species
UACGUAGGCAGCGAGCGUUGUUCGGAGUUACUGGGCGUAAAGAGUGCGUAGGCGGUUUUCUAAGUUUGGUGUGAAAUCUCCCGGCUUAACUGGGAGGUGCGCCGAAGACUGGAAGGCUUGAGUAUGGGAGAGGUAAGCGGAAUUCCAGGUGUAGCGGUGAAAUGCGUAGAUAUCUGGAGGAACACCGGUGGCGAAGGCGGCGGCCUGGGUUGACACUGACGCUGAGGCGCGAAAGCGUGGGAGCAAC